rnacentral:rRNA from 1 species
CAAAAACAUCGCCUCUUGUAUCCUUAACCAUAAGAGGUCCAGCCUGCCCAGUGACUGUAAGUUUAACGGCCGCGGUAUUUUGACCGUGCAAAGGUAGCGCAAUCACUUGUCUUUUAAAUGAAGACCUGUAUGAAUGGCACCACGAGGGCUUAACUGUCUCCUUUCUCCUGUCAAUGAAAUUGAUCUCCCCGUGCAGAAGCGGGGAUUACAACAUAAGACGAGAAGACCCUAUGAAGCUUUAGGCACCAGAACAGACUAUGUAAAACACUCCUGCAUAAAGGACAAAACCUAGUAGCCCCUGUUCCAAUACCUUUGGUUGGGGCGACCGCGGGGAAACACACAACCCCCAUGUGGACUGGAAGUACAACCCCUUCUACAGCCCAGAACUACAACUCUAAGUAACAGAACAUCUGACUAUAAAUGAUCCGGCACAGCCGAUCAACGAACCGAGUUACUCUAGGGAUAACAGCGCAAUCCCCUUCUAGAGUCCAUAUCGACAAGGGGGUUUACGACCUCGAUGUUGGAUCAGGACAUCCUAUUGGUGCAGCCGCUAUUAAGGGUUCGUUUGUUCAACGAUUAAAGUCCUACGUGAUCUGAGUU